rfam:Thiocystis violascens DSM 198, complete genome.
CGCCGAUUUCGCCCAGGCGGAGUUCGACCGCCGCGUGACGUCGUGAGGCCCUUCAUCGACGCGCAUCGCGAGGCCCCUGGGGGUCGAGCCGAUCUGCCGAGUGCUGCAGGUCGCCCCA